rnacentral:SRP_RNA from 1 species
GGGCUGCAGUGCACUAUGUUGCCUGGGCAUCUGCACUAAGUUCAGCAUCGAUAUGAUGACCUCCUGGGAGCAGGGGACUACCAGAUUGCCUAAGAAGGGGUAAACUGGCCAAGGUUGGAAACGGAGCAGGUCAAAACUCCCGUGCUGAUCAGUAGUGGGAUCGUGCCUGUGAAUAGCCACUGUACUCC